GCAGAUCUGUAAGGAAAGCCUGUAAAUGUUACUAAAAAUGUGAUAUUUAAUAAAUAAACAAAUUUGAUACAAAGUUGCUGAUGAUUUCAAUGGUAGCUUAUGUAACAGGCCACUUCUCCUCUGCAACAUAAGGAUGUGACACUGUAAUGACAAAAUGGCUUUGUUACAAAAGUAUGCCUAAAUAUGUCUAAAGUAUUUGAGAAAACGCACCGAACAGACCUAUGUUCCCGGGUUUUGACUUGUACAAUGUGUGGUUACCAUCAUUAGUCUGAAUAGGUAAGGUACGUCAACAAUGCAUUUCGCUGAAACCACCACUGAAGUCUCAGUCAACAUCAUGGCAGCAUUAGGACUCCUAUGGCUUGUGAGCUCCGUAGCAUCCAUCCUUGUCAAAUGUGAAGAUGCAACAUCUGAACACAAAAAGAUCUACCCAGCAAAGAUAUUUGGACCAUCUAGCGUGACUGAAGGGGUAAACAUCCAUUUUAAAUGUAGCACUACUGGCAUCAGAGGACCUGAGGACAAGUUCAAUUUUUACCUUUGCAAGAAUGGAGUUGGGAUAAGAAUUGCGCUGCUGGAGAAAGGUGAAGAUGAUGCUAUUUUCGACAUGAAGAAUGUCACAAGAGAAGACUCAGGCAACUACAGCUGUGUGUACACCAGAGAUAAACUUGUACCCAGUCACUUGAGGUCAACAGGGGAGAAUUUAGUAGUCUUUCAGGUUGAUGAAGAAUGGAAAGAGGCUGCACAUGGUGUGAUACUGGUCAAUGUAAUCCGACUGAUAAGUUCAACAGUUGUGGUCAUUCUUCUAUUGACUGUGGUGGCUGUUAGUUCCUGCUGUUCAAAAAGAGAGAAAAGAGCCAAGCAGCAAGUGCCCAAGGAAGAUACUUGAGGCACUGAAGCUAAAAAGGACUACAGCAGUAUGUACUGUAAUCUGCCAACCUGGUCCAAUGGAACAAUAUGACAGUGAACGCAGGGGGCAAGUUAGCUUUACAGGGACAGCCUUUUGUCAAGAAAAUGUGGGAAAUGAAUGAGCAACAUACAAUCAAUAACCAAUGUUACUUUGCUCAAUGGUUAUUUAUAGUACUGUUUUUAGCAUUCUUUGCUAUAAGUUUGUUGUAACAUUACCUGAUUCUAUAGGGUAGUGACAUUCACUAUGAAGGAAUUAAUUCUGAAUAUAUUGACAGAAUGCUUAAGAAUGUAUAGAUUGUUUAUUGGUAUAAUUAAGAAAUAAGGCAUGAGGAGGUGUGGUUUAUGUCCAAUAUACCACGGCUAACGGCUGUUCUUAUGGAUACCAUAUACAUAUACAAACCCCAAAGGUGACUUAUUUCUAUUAUAAACUGUUUAAAAAUGUAAUUAGAGCAGUAAAAAUAAAUGUUUUGUCAUACCCGUUGUAUAGGUCUGAUAUAUAUCACGUCCUCUCAGCCAAUGAGCAUUCAGGGCUGGAACAACCCAGUUUAUAAUGCAUCUUAAGGAAAACUCUACCCAAAAACUAUAUUUUGGUAUUUGUUUAAUUAGUCCAUUGUUGAUAUUGUCCCAAAAUGUUUUGCAUGUCAUCAAUCAAGUUUUGAAGAUAAGUGCCAGAUAUCUGUAUUUUAAAGUUAUUUCUGAUACAUAUUGCAUCAUAUAAUGCCAAAUGCAGCAUCUGAUACAAAAUGCAUCAUACAGGCCAGAUUUCUGUAUUUUGAAAGUGACAUAUCUUUAAAAUUUCAUUGCUGACAUACAAAACAUUUUUAGACUCUAUCAACAACGGACUAAUUCAUAUAUUUUUUGAGUGGAGUUUUUUUAAAAUUCACACAGUUUUUGUCUAUGCAAAGAUACAUGCACAGUUCUUCUCUUAUUUGUCUUUUUUCUUUUUCAGUAUAGCUACAUGUGAAACUGUAUAGUUAGCCAUCUAGCACAAUGAAUAUUACAGAACCUGUUCAUUUCUCUAAUGACACGCCUACUCUUGAAACUGAACGUAUAAUAAGGGAUUGAACACUUUGUUACAAAAGUAUGGCUGAAUCCAUUCUCAGCAUAUGAGGAACGUUAUCGGCUAUAGUCUGUUUUUUUAUUCGUACAAUGUGAGGUUACUGUUGUGAGUCUACAUUUUGAGGCACAUCAACAUUGGAUUUCUCUGAGACCAAACCUCUACCCAAUGUCUCAGCCAUCAUAAUGAGGAGACCAAGGCGCAGCGCAAUAAGAGUACAUAACUCUUUUAAUGAGAAGAACGAACACUGAACAAAACAAUAACAUGAACCAUGACGCUAUAUGACUAGUGCAAACAGGCAACUAAACGUAGAAUAACAACCCACAAACUAUCCAAGGAAUAUGGCUACCUAAAUAUGGUCCCCAAUCAGAGACAACGAUAAACAGCUGCCUCUGAUUGAGAACUAAUCUAGGCAACCAUAGACAUACAAACACCUAGACUAGAAAACCCCAUAAACAUACAAAACCCCAUAGACAAUACAAAACUACACAAACCACCCAUGUCACACCCUAACCAAAUAAUAAAGAAAACAAAGAUAACUACGGUCAGGGCGUGACAGACAAUACAUCAUGGCAGCAUUAGGACUCACAUGGUGAAUAUGUUCUACUUUUCGAGUGAUAGAAAGGAUCAAGAGCAACAUUUAUUUUAAUGAUCUUUGUUUAUAGUAUCUUACAAAGCUCAUCUGCAUCAUAGAGAAACAGGACUUAAUCAAGUAUUCUAGUUCCAAGUAGUCACAGCAUCCAAACUUGCCAAAUCUGAAUACACAGGUAAAGUAUAUAUGUUUAAAAAUAUAGCAUCUACAUUAUAUACAGUACUCAGAAAACAAAAAAAUGACAUUUUAUUCAAACAAACAGUUGUUUAUCAUCCACUUAUUCUUGGGAGUUAUCUACUUAUUGAGUAUUCUGAUCUAUGCAGAUACCUACCCUUUGAGGCUCUUUGUCUCAACAUUCAUGGUGAGAGAAGGGGGUAACAUAGAUUUUAAAUGUAGCACUGUCGACCUGGAACAACACUGGGUCGAGGUUCAGGUUUACCUUUGUAAGAAUGGUGUUGGGAUAAGAAUGACUGUUCUGUAAGAAGCUGAAGAUGACACCAGUUUCACCAUGAAGGAUGUUACAAAAGAAGACUCAGGGAUCUACAGCUGUGUGUACACCAGAGAUAACCUUCUACCAGAUCAAAUGAAGUAAACAGGCGAGAAUUUACUAGUCAUCCAGGUCCAUGGGGAAGAAAGUAAGCUUUUGUUAAUGUGUGUGUAUGUUUGUAAUGAUUAGAAACAAUGGUGAGUGGAUUGCUGUGCAUAUUCAGAAUUUAUCAAGUAUUUUUUCUUCAGACACAAAAAUACAGCAUAUACUGUUAAACCACAAAUUACAUUAUUGAUACUAAAUCAACUUACACUUAUGGGCAAAUUUUUACUUACACUUGUCACGUUGGCAUGAGUGAUUCGGGAGACAGGCGCAGGAAUGAGUAAUAGGGGUUUUAUUCAGCCCAAAUUACGGCGUGCAGUUUAAAGGCACGGGGACAAGACCAAACACGUAACAAAACACAGGGUUGAAACCCACACAAAAAAGCGAGGAGUACCUCGAAUAAAUGACACAAAUGAUUAUAAAUUAUUAUCACACGGGACGAGACCCGUAAUCAUCUGCGCAAUCCACAAGGGCACGAAAGCCCAGAACACACAGCACAGGUUCUCACACGACUAACGGACAUAGUAACAAUAAUCAACACCACUAUGGUGAACAAAGGGGACAUAUAUAUAAAUACGAUCAGUGGGAAUAGGGGCCAGGUGUGCGCAAUGAAGGUUCCAGGGGGAUCCGUGACACCACUUAAAUGAAAUAUUCUGCUUUUUCUUUUUUAAGUAGAAGUUACAGUUCACCCCUUAUUUAGUAUUUUGUUUCAUGCAGAGAUCUACCCCACAAAGCUCUAGGGACCAUCUAAUGUGACUGAAGGGGGGGACUGUAGAUUUUAAAUGUAGCACUACUGGCGUCAGAGGAUCUGAGGACAAGGUUCAUGUUUACCUUUGCAAGAAUGGAGUUGGGAUAAGAAUUGCAGCGCUGGAGAAAGGAAGAAUGAUGCUAUUUUCACCCAUAUUGAUGUUACAAGAGAAGACUCAGGCAACCACAACUGUGUGUACACGAGAAAUAAACUCAUACCUAGUCAGGUGAACUCAACCAGGGAGAAUUAUCUUGUCUUUCAGGUCUAUGCAGAUGUGGAAUGUAAGAUUCUGACAAUGUUUGUGUAUAAUGUACACUACCGUUCAAAAGUUUGGGGUCACUUAGAAAUGUCCUUGUUUUUGAAAGAAAGGCACAUUUUUUGUCCUUUACAAUAACAUCAAACUGAUCAGAAAUACAGUGUAAAGGCGAUUCCGUGAUGCAGUUCCUCUGUGUUCUUUUGCCCAUCUUAAUAUUUGAUUUUUAUUGGCCAGUCUGAGAUAAGGCUUUUUCUUUGCAACUGUUGACAUUGAGACUGGUGUAUUAUUUAAUGAAGCUGCCAGUUGAGGACUUGUGAGGCGUCUGUUUCUCAAACUAGGCACUCUAAUGUACUUGUCCUCUUGCUCAGGCCUCCCACUCCUCUUUCUAUUCUGGUUAGAGCCAGUUUGCGUUGCUCUGUGAAGGGAGUAGUAUACAGUGUUGUAUGAGAUCUUCAGGUUCUUGGCAAUUUCUCGCAUGGAAUAGCCUUCAUUUCUCAGAACAAGAAUAGACUGAUGAGUUUCAGAAGAAAGUUCUUUGUUUCUAGCCAUUUGAGGCUGUAAUCGAACCCACAAAUGCUGUUGCUCCAGAUACUCAACUAGUCUAAUGAAGUCUAGUUUCAUUGCUUCUUUAAUCAAGACAACAAUUUUCAGCUUUGGCAACAUAAGUGCAAAAGAGUUUUCUCAUGAUCAAUUAGCCUUUUAAAAUGAUAAACUUGGAUUAGCUAACACAACGUGACAUUGGAUCACAGGAGUGAUGGUUGCUGAUAAUGGGCCUCUGUAUGUAGAUAUUCCAUUAAAAAAACAGCAGUUUCCAGCUACAAUAGUAAUUUACAACAUUAACAAUGUCUACACUGUAUUUCUGAUCAAUUUGGUGUUAUUUUAAUGGACAAAAAAUGUGCAUUUCUUUCAAAAACAAGGACAUUUCUAAGUGACCCCAAACUUUUGAACGGUAGUGUAUGUUUGUGUUGAUUAAAUGCAUAGAUUGCUAUACUAUUAUAUUUGUCAAUUCAGAUUUUAUUUUUGCCAAUAUAUUGCUUUG
rnacentral:lncRNA from 1 species